AACCCAUGGUGAGGGCACCUUCUUAAUAAAUCAUUGUAUCUUUCCCAUGCAUCAUAAAGUGUUUCUAAAUCCACCUGCACAAAAGAAGAGAUAUCAUUCCUUAAUUU
rnacentral:snoRNA from 1 species